GGGAGGGGCGCAAGCGUUGUUCGGAAUCAUUGGGCGUAAAGCGCGUGUAGGCGGCUUGGGCAAGUCGGGGUGUGAAAGCCCGGGGCUCAACCCCGGAAUUGCACUCGAUACUGCCCUAGCUAGAGUCCCGGAGAGGGUGGCGGAAUUCCCGGUGUAGAGGUGAAAUUCGUAGAUAUCGGGAGGAACACCAGCGGCGAAGGCGGCCACCUGGACGGUGACUGACGCUGAGACGCGAAAGCGUGGGGAGCAAACAGGAUUAGAUACCCUGGUAGUCCACGCCGUAAACGUUGGGUGCUAGGCGCUGCGGGUAUUGACCCCUGCAGUGCCGACGUUAACGCAUUAAGCACCCCGCCUGGGGAGUACGGUCGCAAGAUUA
rnacentral:rRNA from 1 species